rnacentral:rRNA from 1 species
UACGAAGGGGGCUAGCGUUGUUCGGAAUUACUGGGCGUAAAGCGUGCGCAGGCGGUCCGUUAAGACAGAUGUGAAAUCCCCGGGCUUAACCUGGGAACUGCCUUCGAUACUGCGGGUCUCGAGUCCGGGAGAGGUGAGUGGAAUUCCUAGUGUAGAGGUGAAAUUCGUAGAUAUUAGGAAGAACACCAGUGGCGAAGGCGGCUCACUGGCCCGGUACUGACGCUGAGGCGCGAAAGCGUGGGGAGCAAACAGG